UACAGAGGUGCCGAGCGUUAUGCGGAAUCACUGGGCUUAAAGCGCGUGUAGGCGGGUCGUUAAGUGUCCGCGUGAAAUCCCACGGCUCAACCGUGGAACUGCCGGGCAUACUGGCGACCUUGAGGCACUUAGGGGCGAGCGGAACAAAUGGUGGAGCGGUGAAAUGCGUAGAUAUCAGGUGGAACGCCGACGGUGAAAACAGCUCGCUGGGAGUGUCCUGACGCUGAGACGCGAAAGCCAGGGGAGCGAACGGG
rnacentral:rRNA from 1 species